CCCCGUCGAGACCGUCGAGCCAGCCCCUGAGUUCGUCAAGAGAGGUCGAAUGUUUACUUAAGCCAGCCUAGCGCCUCGCACUGCUGCUUUCAUUUGCUGAAUAGAGCUUAAACUCUGCACUUUCAUGGGUUUCCAUUCUCUGCUCUCUAUUACUGCUUGAUGCUCUUUGCAUUGUUGUAUUCAGUAGGGCCAGCUUGAACCGUUUGCACCAGGAAGAAGACCGGCCCAAUGUUGAUGAAGGGAGGCAGCCUACAGGAUGCCCUGCAAAUCAAUUUUGAGCAAGGUGUGUGUAGAUUCAGAAAUGUUCAGACUGAAUGUUCACCGAAUUAGUAAAUCUUGUCUUUCCUAAAAACUGAAUUUGUAUAUUAAGUCUUUGCUAAAUGCCAGCUUCCAGAGUUUAAAUGUUCAGUCUUGUCUUCCCUAAAAACUAAAUCAGUAAAUCUUGUCUUUUCCUAAAAACUGAUCAUGUCUUCUAACAAGGUGCAUAUGCGAGUGUUGUGUUAACACUCAACACUGAAUGUUCAGUCUUGACUUUGAAUUUUCACCAAAUUUGCAAAUAUUUUCUUCCAACAAGGUGCAUAUGCCAGUGUGAACCGAACAACAAACUGAAUUACUCUGAAUAUUCGGAAAAUAUCAUGUUAGACAAGAUUGUGAAUUACUCUGAAUAUUUAUAUGGAACGGCAAACUGAAUUUUUUGACCAUUUGACUUGUUCUAAACCGUAGGCAAAGCUGUUUGGAUCCUCAAAUACAUGAGUAAUUAAAAGAGCAUGUACCAUCUGCAGCAUCUCAAGAAAUUCAAAGAAAUUCAGAAUACGGUACAGCAUCUCAAGACAUCUGGCCACCUUUUGUUUUGGUCAGAUGACCAGAUUGUGCGAAAUUGUGCCCAACCACAAAGACAAAUGCACUAGCACCACAUAGUUGCAUUGACCAAAUAGACUUGUUCCAUGAGUGCUUAAUUUGCAUUGAUCAGAUAUAUUGUAAUUGCAGAAAUCUUAGGAAUAUUGUUUGUCCAAUCUUUGUGUAGAAAUUUUAUGACUAUGUGAAUUAAAGGCUUUCAACUAAGAAGAUGAUUAUUUCGACUACAUACUUCUAUCAUAUGGAGCUACAUACUCCUAUCAUAUGGAGCCAAAGUGCUCUUUUAUUUAAAU
rnacentral:lncRNA from 1 species